rnacentral:rRNA from 1 species
UACGAAGGGGGCUAGCGUUGCUCGGAAUCACUGGGCGUAAAGGGCGCGUAGGCGGCCAUUCAAGUCAGAGGUGAAAGCCCAAGGCUCAACCUUGGAACUGCCUUUGAUACUGUUUGGCUUGAGACCGGUAGAGGUAAGUGGAACUGCGAGUGUAGAGGUGAAAUUCGUAGAUAUUCGCAAGAACACCAGUGGCGAAGGCGGCUCACUGGCCCGGUACUGACGCUGAGGCACGAAAGCGUGGGGAGCAAACAGG